CCUGCAGCCAGGGCCUGAGGAGGUUGGCAGGAAUGUGGUUAUCUUGGUCUGUAUCUUGUUACCUAGGAUUCUUCUUGAUGCUUCUAGAGCUGGGCUUGGAGCUGAGCCAGCGGCACCUGCGUUGUCUGAUGAUGUCAUGGAGGCUGCUGGACUCAAAGAGCCUACUCAGAGCAAGAAUAAUGUGAAGUAAUUCUGAUAACUUCCUUAGAUCUACAGAAGAAAGGUUUCACAUCCGUUUUCUUCCCCUAAUAGAGGAGGAGGAGUCUUCAUAGAAGACGAAGACAAGACCAUGGCACAGCUGGAGGGUUUCAGAGCAAAGAUGUAUCCAGACAUGUCGAUGAAAGGAAAAGGGAUGAUGGACGAUACUGCCCAAAUCUAGAUGGGAAGGAUUAAAAGGUUCUACAAAAGUAGCCAUUUGUUUUCUUUUUAAUGUGGUAAAACACAUAUAAAACAUACCAUCUUGGGGUGCCUGGGUGGCUCAGUGGUUGAGCAUCUGCCUUUGCCUCAGGUCAUGAUCCUGGGAUCCUGGGAUCAAGUCCACAUCAGACUUCUCGCAGAGAGCCUGCUUCUCUCUCGGCCUAUGUCUCUGCCUCUCUCAUGAAUAAAUAAAAUCUUUUAAAAAUA